AUGGACAGUAUGGCUUAUGGGAUCGCAAAGAUUUGGAAACAACUGAACAACAGCAUUCCCAGAGUGGUAUCACAGUUUUUUGUACAGAGAAGAUAUCUGAUAAAAAUUGCCAUAUUCUCCCCACAGUUCAAAUUUCUCACUGAAAGAGAGAGCUACCCCCGCAAUGGCUACCAAGAAGAAGGAAAUCAUUGGUACACAGCUCCCUCCCCUUGAGCUGCUGCCAGCUUAGUUUUGCUUCAGUUUCUAUUUCUCUAGAAAAUCCUCCCCGUUUCCAGCUUUUGGUUUCGUGAAAGCAGCAGCAGUAGCAGCAGUGGCAGCAGCAACAGCAGCAGUAGCAGCGGUGGCGGCGGCAGUAGCAUGUCUUUCGGUGGUAGUCAGCCUCCCUACCAGAAUCCGGUGAGUAAACCUGUGGUGGGUACCAUAUAGAGGUAGUGGGCUGUGAUGGAGUGAAGCAAGCUACUUCCAUGCAUGUAUAAGGAGCCUGUUCUGGGGACAUGCAUCUGGGGGUACCAGGGGAAAUAGUCAGGGGAGGAUGGUUUAUUUUAGAGAGGACAGGGGGUGAAGGGGAGCAGCAACGCUACUCCACAGAGAAUGUCAAAAGGUUGGAAGCUUUAGAUGAUCCAAUCCAAUGGUCCAUUCGACCCAGAGAUCUGUCCUUGAUAGCAGUCAGGCCGUGAGACACAUGGUAAUGACUAAAUGUGCUUCAGCCUGGUAGAUGAGAAAUCCGGGGAAGUGAUUGGGAGUGUAUGAAGGAUCCAGUUAUGUACCUCAGCUUCCCUCUUCUAGCCCAGGACCCUCUUCCGGUUCCUUUCCUUCUGCUUUUCCACAAGGGAGUCUCUGAUGUGGAUGACACUAUCUCCCCAUGAAACCUACAAGAAUCAUAAAUUAGGCCUUACAAUUUAGAGCCCUAAAGGACCUUAGAGGUGAUCUGUAUAGCAGUGGGGUUGGACGAGACCAAUGGUUUGCAAACUCUUUUUUACACUCUAAAAAUUAUUGAGGAUCCCAAAGAGCUUCCAUUUAUGUGGGUUACUGAUCUCAAUAGUUACUGUAUUAGAAAUUAAAACGGAUCAAAUUUUAAAAUAUUUAAUUUAAGAUCACUAAUUCAAAUUAAUGCAUUAAUUUAGUAAUUCCUUUUAAAAGGCAAUAAAAACCCAUUACCUACUAACA
rnacentral:lncRNA from 1 species